AGUUAUAUAGUAUAGUAGUAAUAUAUAUAUACCUUAUAGGUUUUUAUAUUCAUUUCCUAGGUAUAAUAACCUAUUUAUAUAAGGUUAUAGGUUUAAUUCCUACUAUAACUA